rnacentral:misc_RNA from 1 species
CUCUGUCUCUGUUCGCUGUAUCCCUGCUCCUUCCCUCCCUGACCCCGUGCGGCGGCUCUUGUGGUUGCCACGUUGUGGGUCGGCUUCACGACUGCAUGUGAGUGGGAUUGUUUACGCCUUUAGUGAAGAGGCGGCGGCGGCUGUAGGAUCCACGUUUUACCGUUAGCUGAGAAAGAGGAGAGCUACACCUGAAAACGAAAACGCACGAGCUCCAUCAGAGAGAGGGGGACAUGGAAGCACCCUUUCUUGCGGUCAGGGGCUCUUACAUCCUCUUAUUCUCGGACUGCGCUCGGAGAACACGGCUAAAACUCAGCUGAGCAACACCGCGACCAUGGCG